CACGUAGGGUGCGAGCGUUGUCCGGAAUUAUUGGGCGUAAAGAGCUCGUAGGCGGUGUGUCGCGUCGGCCGUGAAAACCUGCAGCUUAACUGUGGGCUUGCGGUCGAUACGGGCAUCACUGGAGUUCGGCAGGGGAGACUGGAAUUCCUGGUGUAGCGGUGAAAUGCGCAGAUAUCAGGAGGAACACCGGUGGCGACGGCGGGUCUCUGGGCCGAUACUGACGCUGAGGAGCGAAAGCGUGGGGAGCGAACAGG
rnacentral:rRNA from 1 species